AAGUCCGUACGAGCGCAACCCUGUCCUUAGUUACCAGCACGUUAUGGUGGGCACUCUAAGGAGACUGCCGGUGACAACCGGAGGAAGGUGGGGAUGACGUCAAGUCAUCAUGGCCCUUACGGCCUGGGCUACACACGUGCUACAAUGGUCGGUACAAAGGGUUGCCAAGCCGCGAGGUGGAGCUAAUCCCAUAAAACCGAUCGUAGUCCGGAUCGCAGUCUGCAACUCGACUGCGUGAAGUCGGAAUCGCUAGUAAUCGUGAAUCAGAAUGUCACGGUGAAUACGUUCCCGGGCCUU
rnacentral:rRNA from 1 species